rnacentral:rRNA from 1 species
GCCUACGGCCAUACCACCCUGAAGACGCCCGAUCUCGGAAGCGAAGCAGGGUGGGGCCUGAUUAGCACCUGGAUGGGAGACCGCCUGGGAAUACCGGGUGCCGUAGGCU